ACGAACGCUGCCGGCUUGCUUACCAAUUGCAGUCCGACGGGAAAGCCCUUGCUUUGGUGGGGUGCUCGAGUGGCAACCGGGUAAGUAAACCGUGGUUACCCGCCCCUUGCCUUUGGGUUACUUUCGGAAACCUGGGCUAAUUCCCGGUAAGGGCUUCCUCCUGAUUGGUGGGGGUGGGAAAGUUCGGCGGUUGGGGAUGGGCUCGCGGCUUAUCAGCUUGUUGGUGGGGUAGUGGCUUACCAAGGCUUUGACGGGUAGCCGGCCUGAGAGGGUGACCGGCCACAUUGGGACUGAGAUACGGCCCAGACUCCUACGGGAGGCAGCAGUGGGGAAUAUUGCACAAUGGGCGGAAGCCUGAUGCAGCAACGCCGCGUGCGGGAUGACGGCCUUCGGGUUGUAAACCGCUUUCGCCUGUGACGAAGCGUGAGUGACGGUAAUGGGUAAAGAAGCACCGGCUAACUACGUG
rnacentral:rRNA from 1 species